rnacentral:rRNA from 1 species
AGAGUUUGAUCAUGGCUCAGAACGUACGCUGGCGGCACGCCUAACACAUGCAAGUCGAACGAAGUAGCAAUACUUAGUGGCAGACGGGUGAGUAACAUGUAGGUAUCUGCCCUUUGGCCUGGAAUAACACGAGGAAACUUGUGCUAAUACCGGAUAAGUCUUUACGGAGAAAGCUUUAUGCACCAUUGGAUGAGCCUGCACUUGAUUAGUUUGUUGGUAGGGUAAUGGCCUACCAAGACUGUGAUCAAUAGCUGAUUUGAGAGGAUGAUCAGCCACAUUGGGACUGAGACACGGCCCAAACUCCUACGGGAGGCAGCAGUGGGGAAUCUUGCACAAUGGAGGAAACUCUGAUGCAGCGAUGCCGCGUGAGUGAAGAAGGCCUUUGGGUUGUAAAGCUCUUUCGUCGGGGAAGAAAAUGACUGUACCCGAAUAAGAAGGUCCGGCUAACUUCGUGCCAGCAGCCGCGGUAAUACGAAGGGACCUAGCGUAGUUCGGAAUUACUGGGCUUAAAGAGUUCGUAGGUGGUUGAAAAAGUUGGUGGUGAAAUCCCAGAGCUUAACUCUGGAACUGCCAUCAAAACUUUUCAGCUAGAGUAUGAUAGAGGAAAGCAGAAUUUCUAGUGUAGAGGUGAAAUUCGUAGAUAUUAGAAAGAAUACCAAUUGCGAAGGCAGCUUUCUGGAUCAUUACUGACACUGAGGAACGAAAGCAUGGGUAGCGAAGAGGAUUAGAUACCCUCGUAGUCCAUGCCGUAAACGAUGUGUGUUAGACGUUGGAAAUUUAUUUUCAGUGUCGCAGCGAAAGCGAUAAACACACCGCCUGGGGAGUACGACCGCAAGGUUAAAACUCAAAUGAAUUGACGGGGACCCGCACAAGUAGUGGAGCAUGUGGUUUAAUUCGAAGAUACGCGCAGAACCUUACCAACACUUGACAUGUUCGUCGCGACUCUAAGAGAUUAGAGUUUUCGGUUCGGCCGGACGAAACACAGGUGCUGCAUGGCUGUCGUCAGCUCGUGUCGUGAGAUGUUGGGUUAAGUCCCGCAACGAGCGCAACCCUCACUUUUAGUUGCCAUCAUUAAGUUGGGCACUCUGAAAGAACUGCCAGUGAUAAGCUGGAGGAAGGUGGGGAUGACGUCAAGUCCUCAUGGCCCUUACGUGUUGGGCUACACACGUGCUACAAUGGUAUCUACAACAGGAAGCAAGACUGCGAGGUCAAGCAAAUCCUUAAAAGAUACCUCAGUUCGGAUUGCACUCUGCAACUCGAGUGCAUGAAGCUGGAAUUACUAGUAAUCGUGGAUCAGCGUGCCACGGUGAAUGCGUUCCCGGGUCUUGUACACACCGCCCGUCACACCAUGGGAGUUGGUUCUACCUUAAGGCAAGGUUUAAAACCCUUGACCACGGUAUAGUCAGCGACUGGGGUGAAGUCGUAACAAGGUAGCCGUAGGGGAACCUGCGGCUG